AGCCUGAGACGUGAUGCGUAGCCGAUUGAGGCGAAUUCAGUGAUCCUAUGCUGCCGAGAAAAGCCUCUAGCGAGCUUUCACACGGCCCGUACCCCAAACCGACACAGGUGGUCAGGUAGAGAAUACUAAGGCGAUCGAGAUAACUAUGGUUAAGGAACUCGGCAAAAUGCCCCCGUAACUUCGGGAGAAGGGGGGCCCUGUCUGGUGACGACAUUUACUGUCUGAGCUGGGUGGGGCCGCAGAGACCAGUGAGAAGCGACUGUUUACUAAAAACACAGGUCCGUGCGAAGUCGUAAGACGAUGUAUACGGACUGACGCCUGCCCGGUGCUGGAAGGUUAAGAGGACCGGUUAGUUCCUUCGGGAGCGAAGCUGAGAAUUUAAGCCCCAGUAAACGGCGGUGGUAACUAUAACCAUCCUAAGGUAGCGAAAUUCCUUGUCGGGUAAGUUCCGACCUGCACGAAUGGCGUAACGACUUCUCAGCUGUCUCAACCGUAGACUCGGCGAAAUUGCAUUACGAGUAAAGAUGCUCGUUACGCGCGGCAGGACGAAAAGACCCCGGGACCUUCACUACAGCUUGGUAUUGGUGUUCGGUUCGGUUUGUGUAGGAUAGGUGGGAGACUGUGAA
rnacentral:rRNA from 1 species